rnacentral:rRNA from 1 species
GACGGAGGAUGCAAGCGUUAUCCGGAAUGAUUGGGCGUAAAGCGCACGCAGGCGGAUCGAUAAGUCGGGGGUGAAAGCCCGGGGCUCAACCUCGGAAUUGCCUUCGAUACUGUCGGUCUCGAGUCCGGGAGAGGUGAGUGGAAUUCCUAGUGUAGAGGUGAAAUUCGUAGAUAUUAGGAAGAACACCAGUGGCGAAGGCGGCUCACUGGCCCGGUACUGACGCUCAGGUGCGAAAGCGUGGGGAGCAAACAGG